ensembl:snoRNA Snord111 small nucleolar RNA, C/D box 111
CAGCCUGAAAUGAUGACUCUAAUUUCAUGUCUCUUCUCUGACAUUUUUCUCCUGUGAUGAUUUGUACCUUACUGAUCUGAUCAGGCUG